rnacentral:rRNA from 1 species
GGUGAACGCUGGCGGCGUGCCUAAUACAUGCAAGUCGAGCGAAUGGAUUAAGAGCUUGCUCUUAUGAAGUUAGCGGCGGACGGGUGAGUAACACGUGGGUAACCUGCCCAUAAGACUGGGAUAACUCCGGGAAACCGGGGCUAAUACCGGAUAACAUUUUGAACCGCAUGGUUCGAAAUUGAAAGGCGGCUUCGGCUGUCACUUAUGGAUGGACCCGCGUCGCAUUAGCUAGUUGGUGAGGUAACGGCUCACCAAGGCAACGAUGCGUAGCCGACCUGGGAGGGUGACCGGCCACACUGGGACUGAGACACGGCCCAGACUCCUACGGGAGGCAGCAGUAGGGAAUCUUCCGCAAUGGACGAAAGUCUGACGGAGCAACGCCGCGUGAGUGAUGAAGGCUUUCGGGUCGUAAAACUCUGUUGUUAGGGAAGAACAAGUGCUAGUUGAAUAAGCUGGCACCUUGACGGUACCUAACCAGAAAGCCACGGCUAACUACGUGCCAGCAGCCGCCGCCG